ensembl:lncRNA
CCUCAUUAAAGUCCAGUAGAUCACUUCCUACUCAUCACUACAUCCUGUAUCUGGUCCUCAUUAAAGUCCAGUAGAUCACUUCCUACUCAUCACUACAUCCUGUAUCUGGUCCUCAUUAAAGUCCCGUAGAUCACUUCCUUAUUCACUCUUUUUGUUUGGUUUAUAAAGCUCUACUAUACAUGGUGGGUUAACUCUGAGGUUCCUAGGGUCGCCACCAAAUUAGGAGAAUCCGCUUUUAAUUUUAAUGUGCCUCACUGCAGAACGAAUAACAAUAGGAUAUUCUGGUGCAGUUUAGUGUGUUGGGGACCUAGUAGCUGAGGAAAGGAACGUUGUUGUGCUUUUAAAAAAAAACAUUUUAUAAGGCAUUGUAUUGAUUACUGUUUGGUUUCACAUCGUUUUUUUAUUUAUUGUUGUAGUACUGUAAAUCAGGGCACCCUGGGGGAUGACACCCUGGUCUCAUUGGUUUUCCCCUGAAUAAAUGAAAAAAAAAAAAAAAUGACAGAUCUGGAUUUAUGGUGGUGUGUGGGUCUGGCUGGUUGCCCAGGCGACUGACGACAGUAGACCUAUCCCUGACCUGCAGAUCUUUAGGCAUAGUGGAGACAGGACUCCACCUGCUGGUAAGAACCUAUUAUCAGAAUCUUCAUCCAUCCACUCCUCAUCAUCACCUCUCAAGCAAGGUUCAUGUGUAGUGGCAUGAUUUAAGCUACUGAUAUUGAAGGCGUAACCCGGGACUCGAUCCCGGGUCCAGCGACUAUCAAGCCAACACAUGAAAUCGCUACAUUAUAUCGGUUAACUCUGACACAACACCUUAAGACAUAGCCCACACAUGAACAAUGUAACCACGGACGUGGAGGGGGAAAAAAAAGACUGAUCCUAAAACAUAAAUUGACAGAUUUAAAUCAUCAAGGCACAACAAUCAUUGUCAGCUGAAAGGUCAAAAGGUCAGUUGAUAGAUGAGGUAGAACAACACGAGAGGCAUCUAUGGACAAUAUCGUCUCUGUCCCAAAUGGCACCAAAUCGAUUCCCUAUAUAGUGCACUACUUUUAACCAGGGCCUAUAGGGCUUUGGUCAAAUGUAGUGCACUAGGUAGGGAAUAGGGUGGCAUUUAUGGGUCUACCAUCCAUCAUUACCCAUAAUGCUUCAGGAAGGUUCUGUUUUUGACAAUAACUAUAAUGAUACAGUCUCCAGUCCACCAGUACAGGUAUUGUGAUACAGUCCACCAGUACAGGUAUUGUGAUAGUCUCCAGUCCACUAGUACAGGUAUUGUGAUACAGUCCACUAGUACAGGUAUUGUGAUACAGUCCACCAGUACAGGUAUUGUGAUACAGUCCACUAGUACAGGUAUUGUGAUACAGUCCACUAGUACAGGUAUUGUGAUACAGUCCACUAGUACAGGUAUUGUGAUACAGUCCACUAGUACAGGUAUUGUGAUACAGUCCACUAGUACAGGUAUUGUGAUACAGUCCACUAGUACAGGUAUUGUGAUACAGUCUCCAGUCCACCAGUACAGGUAUUGUGAUACAGUCCACUAGUACAGGUUUUUUUUUAACCUAGGAAUAUAGUGUUCUCUGCAGUGUGUUCUCUGCUGUCUGUGCAGUGUGUUCUCUGCUGUCUGUGCAGUGUGUUCUCUGCUGUCUGUGCUGUGCAGUGUGUUCUCUGCUGUCUGUGCAGUGUGUUCUCUGCUGUCUGUGCUGUGCAGUGUGUUCUCUGCAGUCUGUGCAGUGUGUUCUCUGCUUUCUGUUCUGUGCUGUGUGUUCUCUGCUGUCUGUGCUGUGCAGUGUGUUCUCUGCAGUGUGUUCUCUGC